rnacentral:tRNA from 2 species
GCCAUCAUAGUCUAGCGGUUAGGACGUCGGCCUCUCACGCCGAAAACCGGGGUUCGAGUCCCCGUGGUGGUGCCA